AUAUAUUUUGGUAGCCUGAGUAAUGGAAGUUAAUGAAUUAUUAUUUAAUUAGACACAAAAGAAGAAUUUACUAUUUAAACCCCACAAUUAACAAAUUUCCUGUGCAUAUAUAUAAAUCAGGAGUACUGUAGCUUCUUCUUUUUAUCUGAGGGGCCUAAUGGUAAGUUUGACUGUUGCAAGAUAUUGCAAUGAGGCCCCUGAGCAAUAUCUCUCACCGAUAGCUCCCCUCACUGCUAACGCUGCCACCAUUCUCUUCCAUUCUUCUCGUUUCGACCACUGUUCGACGUCAAAUGACUAUCGUGGAGCCUCCUCAACAUUGUGAGCUCAUCCCCACCAUCAGUUUCACCUGAAAAUACUAGAGAUUGAUGAAGCAAGGUGGCAAGAAGCUUGCCUCUUACUGUCGUCGCUAGAACACCCCUAUGACGGUGUUUUCUGGUCAAAUCGAGACCGGAAUUAGUUUUGUCGCCCUUAAAAGCCUGUGUCUAGACAUUGCAGUUGCCAACAAUGCCUCUUGGUCGGUGAUCAGAAGUGGACUAGCCUUGUCGGAGAUAUUCGGUUUUUGGAUCGUUUAAUGACCUUUCAGUGGUUGUUAGGCGGAAGUAACCAUAUAUUUGGACUCCCCAUGUUUUGAUUUACAAUUUGGUACCUUCAGAUUGAAUUCUCGUCGUCGUCGAAAUUUUCCAGCGAUCGAGUUCGGUGACCUCAGACGCGUGCCGGCAGGCGAAAUUCUAAUUUGUGCUUUUGGGCGUCCAUGUGACCGUAUCAAGUGAUUGUUAGUAUUCUCGCAGUUCUUAUCUAGCAGCCCGACUCCUUCAUCAUCGGGUUGAUGUAAUUGAUUUUGGUAUGUUUGACUUGUGAAAUUUUAGAUUCUCCACAGUAGAAAUUUUAGACUUAUCAAUUUGUAAUUUUAUAUAAAUUCAAGUCUCGCCUAAUUAUGCUGGCGGACCUAAUUUAAAUUUAUAGUACCCGUUGAUUUAAGAGUAAUUGUGGAAAAAGUGCAUUGGAUUGAGUCCGGAUUCUAAUUUGAUUGAGUUAGUGAAUAGUCAGGCUUACUACGAGAUUUGGUGGCCUUAAGCCUACCCAUUCUCUAGUGUCAGUCACGGGCCCACAGAUCGGGUCGUGAUAGUCUACUUAUAUGUUUGAGGACUUCGCCUGCUAAAAUAGGGACCACGCCAAAUGAUUUGGGAGCCACGUCUGAUGAUUUGGGAACUACGCCCGAUGAUUUAGUGAUUGCAGAGACCUCCCUCUAGCUACUUUCUAUUCCAAGAAACAAUAUUGUUGUUUUGGGCCGAUCUGGUAAUUUUUCACUUGGGUUGAAAUUUCCCACAUUGGUGCAUAAUUUGACUUAUUCUAAUUCUUUCCAGAAGCUAUACUGGCAUUUGGCCCGUGUAGGGACUAAGAUGUAAUUUUACCGGAUCAAGGACCAAACUUGUAAUUUUUUCAAAACUCCCCCUCGGGGUAUCAAUUGUGCUUCUAUGUAUCUUUUGCAGACUUGUAUAAACUUUUGGACUAAAAUUCAAUUUUGGCAGGUCAGGGACCUAAAUGACAUUUUUGCCCCUCCUUAGUACAUACAUAUAGGCUUAUCCAUUCUUCUUUCUUCACCUUACUCAUUUUCUUAAUUUCUCUCUAAAGCUUCUUUUGUUCUUUCUUUGAUUUUUUGCUCAUUUUUCAGCCAAUCUCCACAAAAUGAGUCUCCAAAUGGCAAGUUCCUCUUCUAAACUUACUAGACGAACCCUAGGUGCACCAGAUUGGGAGUUUACCGCUUUGAUUUUCUGACAAAAUGACCUUGGGCUUGUGAAAGGAGAGGAGAUUCCUCUUCUAGCAAAAUUGAGCACACAUAGCGCCUUCUGAGCCAUUGGAGAGGUAAUUUCUUGACCUAAACUUAUUUUCUGCAACUUAGAAACACAGUAUGCAUGUUAAUCACUCAAAAUAUAUACAAAUUUGAAAAAAAAACUAAAGGGAUUUGAGAACCCUCAGCUAUACAGCAAUCGGCUAUAUGUACAGUUGAAUCAGCUGUGCGUAUAGCUAUCAACACUAUGUAGUGCCGUAUAGUGCCGAUUCGGCUCUACACAAUACAAACGGUUGUAUAUAGGCAAGACAAAGGUAUUUUAAGGUUUUUUCAUGAAAAUAACACUGGAUAAACAUAUUUACCUUCUUAGAGUCUUUUGCAUGUGCAUGAUACUUAAAUACCUAUUUUAUACUUUUCAAGGCAAUGUAGUGUCGAUUCGGUUCGUCGAAAACUUCUACAAUGCACGUGAGUAGUUUGACAAGCUACCUAGCUCGGUUCAAGGCAGGAUUAGGAACACUGGCUUCUGCCAGUUCGUGGCCACACUUCUUUCGGUCACUAGGAGAGUCCAUGACUCAAUUUAUGCUUUGCUAGAGAGAUGGAUGGAUACAAUAGACACCUUUCAUACUCUUGAUGGUGAGCUAACUCUUUCUCCCCUUUCAUUUUCUGCUAUCAUUAACAUCGAGUUCUUCAGCACGCCCGUGCCUUUUAAUGAUGCGAUCCAUUAUCGGCAUCCCGAGGCUCGAGAGCGCUCCAUCAUUGACUUGCUAGGGUUUUCUCCGACGCUUAAAAAUGCGAGAUGCCUUGCUUACUAGUGCAUCCCUCUCUACUUCCGGGGCUUCAUUCCUCGGAAUGCUCAGGAGUUUGACUAGAUGACUUGAGCUUUCUUGGUGUACCUUUCUGGUACGACCUUAUCAGUGACUCUAGAAGCUCGCUGAAUUUUCACUAUCUAGCACCCUUGUAAGACCUAUACCAAGUUUCAUCUUAUGACAGAGGGUCUGCGGCCCUCACAUACCUUUAUCAUCAGAGGGAUGUCAUCAUCCGUGGUGGCAAAAGGAUUUGCAAUUUCUAGCACGCGAUCCACAUAAGUUGUCUUGACUUCUUUUCUUUUAGUUGAUUUAUAUAAAUAUUGUGUGCGCUAACUCCUUACUUUUACAAGUUUGGUCUUUGAAGAUCAGCCUCCUAAUAGGCUCACAGCCCAUUUGCACCUCGCGAGCUUUUCCUCGUUUGAGCCGUUGGGGCUCGAGCAGAACAGUAGCCUAGAAGUGGUCAUAGGUUCACGUGCACUGUACGUGGAUCAACAGCCUAACCUAGAAUAUGGUAAACAUAAUUCAUUAGUUAUACUCAUGUUUUAUUUAUAUUAUCGCCUACAUUUUCUGUUUUAUAAAUCCACAGUGAUUGGUUGGGGGAACGCGACCAAUGGAAGCCUUAUAUGUUGUACAUGGCUGACCUCGAACUAGGAGAGUGCUACUAGCAAGGCUGCCUAUCGGGCUUAGUACCUAGGUGAAAGGAUUUAUGGUUGGGAGCAUGGUCACAACAGGCGUCGGAUUCUUUUGCCUCUUCCUCUUUCCAUGUUAUGGAGCUGGAGAAGAGCUGGCAGAGUGCUUGAAUGGGUAUGACGAGCUUGAGGAUUUAACCAUCCGAUCAUGACUUAUUAAUUACACCUUAUUCAUCACACAAUUGAUAGGGAUUUCACCCUUUAGUGAUGACACCACUGUUCGGGCCCUUGCUAUCCGAGAGCCAACUAAAGGAUGGUCUUCUCGGUGCAGCCAGCCUUCCCAUGUCGCAGUCUCAUCCGCUAGUGUGACUUCUGAGGCACUACCUACGGCUACGUCAGAUGUGGUCCCCGGGGCUGUCUGAUUCCCUCAUAAUUCGAUGAUUUCUUAUUGGAGUCCACUCUGUGUGAUACAGCACCAUCUCGCUAUGAAUCAGUAUUUCCCUUCAGAGUUCAUCCCGAGCAAUUGCACCCAUGUUCAAAGAGACCAGUUUGAGCAUGUACAUCGACUGGUUGGGGCGGCGAGGAGACAGUUCUUCAUCCUUGGCGAGGAUUGGUGGGACCAUGAGGGACUACAGGGGCAGUUAGACGACUAGUAGCAUUAACUUGAUGCUCAGUAAUGACGGAUUGAUACCCUGACUCUCCAGCUGUCAGCCUUACAGACCCCAAGGGAUGGAUGUUGAAUCCGACGAUGAGAUGGAUAGUCUAGGAGGGAACUCCGGCUUUUGACUUCCCUUUGCUUGUACCUUUUCUUUUUCUGAUUGUAUGUAAGGCCUGAAACCUUUGUGUAGCCUUUUAUUUUUUGAAGGUAUAAAAUGUAUUACCUUUUUUAUUUCUCCUAUUUCUCAUCUUUAUAAUUCAGUCUUUGUAUAAAAUCUUGUGCGACAAAUUACAUCAGGAGGCCAUACAACCAAAUCUAUUUUCUAUUAUUUUUUUUACUUUUGCCUUAACUUUUGCCUAAGCUGCCCUUUUGGGUUUUCAACUUAGCAGACUUUUGUCUUAACUUUUACCUAAGUCGCCCUUCGACUUUUCAACUUAGCAGACUUUAUUUUUGCCUAAGCCGCCCUUUUAGAUUUUCAACUUAGCUUUUUCUUUUUUCUUAUUUUUUCUUUCUUCUUACUUAUUUUUGUAGAUUUGGCUACUUCAAAUAUUGAUUUCCCUUAGCCUUGCUUGAUUCGAGAACUGGCUAUUUUAUCUUAAGGAUGUAGAUGCAAAUUAUGCAAAAAAAAAAUAAAUAUGUUUUUUUUUCAUAUCUCAUUUACUUUGCUUGGAACUUUUAGUUUUUUUUUUCUCAGUUAGCAUGUAGAAUGACAAAUAGACAUACAUAUGUUUGAUAACAAUUCAAGAUAACUUUAUUCAUUCAAUAAAAGCCCAGAUGGGAAUAUUUUGAUUUCUCACGAAAUAACUUCUGUUAUCAGCCAGUCUUUUGAGAUGUUCUAGCUGACUAUUUCUCUCUUUUGCCCUGACUUUUUUCUGACCAACCUAUUCAGCUUUUAUGAUUGGCAAACUAUUUUUUCUAUUUUCCUUUUCCACAUAUGGUAUUUCUUGAGACAAUCUAUAUUUAUUGGCUCAAUGACUUAUUCCUAUCUAGGCCUGAGAUUUUGGCUGCACCUCUAGGCAGAAUCCUCUUGACCAAGUAUAAGUUUUCCUAGUUUAGCCUGAAAUUUCCUCUUGGGUCGAAUGUGGUAGGUCUUGUAUGUUUAAAAACCAGAUCAUCAGCUCUAAUCUUUUCUGGCUUUACUUUCUUAUUGAAUGCCCUAACUAUCCUUUUCUGGUACAACUGCGUUUAGUAUAUUUCAUCAUUUUCUCAUCAAUCAAGGCUAGUUGUUGGUACCUUUGCUCAACCCAUUAAUACUGCGGUAUUUCUGCCUCUAAUAUAAGUCUCAAAGAUUUCAAUUCUCACUCAACUCGCAAUACCGCCUCAGUUCCAUAAAUCAUAGAGUAUGGUGUCUGUCUAGUCGACGUUCGCUCAGUUGUCCGAUAUCCCUAAAGCGCGAAGGGUAAUCAAAAUGACCAAUCCUUCUAAUUCUAUACAAUGUUUGAAAGUAUCUUCUUUAGAUUCUUGUUGGCUGCCUCUAUACGGAGAAGACCUAUGAUGCCUCGAUCUUGUAUUCCGCCAGUAGGUCUGAUGUCUCACCCAUAAAUUGCACCCCGUUAUCCGUCAUAACAUGGUGAGGGACCUUGUAUUUGCAGAUCAGGUUUCUUUCUAUGAAUCUG